AGCAAAAGCUGCUAUCAGGACCAUGAGGCCAGAGAGAUUACAUGGUCAGCAAUGUGCUGAGCGGUCAUUUGUGGAUGUCAAAUGCCUGCCUGAUGUUUAGAAUGCACAGAGCACGGCAGAGAGACGCACUCGGUGAUCACAAGCAAACACGCGCUGGAGGUUGAGCCCCUGACAUUCCUUCGUCUCCAAGGUCCCACUAAAUGGAUGCCGAGGAUAACUUUUUCUCCUCUCAACUUCUUUCACUGGCUUUUCGUCUGUGUGAAGUCAGAGUCUCAGAUGCAGCUGGCCACCGUUUCUAAUCGUUAUUCAUGGUGUGGUUUGCAGUUUCUUGUUUUGUGUUGAAAUGAGGCCUCUUCGUUAGCUAAAAACUCUGGUGAGAUCUUCCUGCCUAAGCCUAAGCCUAUCAAGGAACCGGGAAGCCAUCGCCACACCCAGUUCUCCGGUGUAGUGUUGACCCUAGGGUCCACUAUGAGUUAGCAGCCUCUCUGGGGAAGAGGCUGUGCUUAUAUGGGUGUGCAGAUGUGAGUGUGGUUGUCACCUCACUAGGUAGACUUUAUCAUGGCUAUUCUGAUAUUCAGCAGGAGCCAGUACAUUAAUCACAAUCUGAUGGUUAAAGUGUCACCCGGCUGAGACUCCAACUCGGGGCUUCUGGCUCGAAGUCCACACAUUUGCCCUUACUUCAGCUGCUUUCUGAAACCACCAGAGUGGGACUGAAGAGGGAAGUGCUGCUUGCCCCUGUCCCUGUUGUCUUAAUUUGUCAGAGGAAGCACUCCAUGUGUGUUAAUGAGGACAGCGGAAGGAAAGAGAAGUAACAAAUAAUGGGGACCCAGACUCGGCUGCCAGCUGAACAAAGACCUCCACAUGAAAUGAAAAUGUCAUGAAACCAGGGAUGUAAAACACGGGAUAUCUGUAUAGAAAAGCAGAUCAGAAUGGAAUGUAUUUUCAGUAGGAAGGGUCUUGACUAGUUGUGUAGAAACACACAUCCAGGCACCAUCCAAAUUAGUGAUUUAUCAAAUCACUAGAAUGUUCUGUUUGCUGUGCCAAGCAUAUUUUAAGCAUGUUAAGGGUUUUUUUUAUGUAAUAAUAGGUAAGGGUUAUCCAUCUUUAUCAUUUUUUACCUACAGAAUUUGAUUCAGGAUGCCAACAUCUUUGCCUGUGGGGUUAGCAUAUACCACGACUCUGCCCAAGAUUCUGUGAUCUACCUACAUAUACUUUAGCUUUGGGACAGAAGACAAAGGCAAGACUUUGAGGAGCUGAACAGGAACAAUUAUCUUUCUGAAGAAUCAGGCUGUACACCAAAUGCACGAAACCAAGGUUUAGUAGACGUCAUCCUCAGAAUACAGAAAACAACCCAAAAGCUAUGGGGAGUCCAUGCACCCUGGCAGGGAUUUUUCCACAUGCAGUUGUCUACUGUGUGUCUGCUUUGACACCUUGCACUAGACUCUCAAGUCCAGAG